CCUGUGAAGAAGCAAUUUUUGUUAGAAAGGAUAAAUGAACAUGAAGACUACAGAGCUGUCUAUGGGAGAAAAGCAAGCCAUUUUGAAGCUGAGAAAAGAAGGAAAAUUUAUCUAACAUUACAAAAGCAUCGGGCUUAGCCAAUACAACAAUUUGGAGUGUCCUGAAAAAUAAAGAAACUGUUGGUGUACUAAUAACCAGACAUCGAAUAGGUUGGCCAAGGAAAACAACAGCAGCUGAUGACAGAAACAUUGUGGGAGCUGUGAAGAAAAACCCAAAAACAACAACUUAUGCAUCAGACAGAGGACUGGGGGCCAUUUUGUCCCAUACUGUGGAGAUGGAGGAGCACCCCAUGCUGUACAUUGGCUGGAAGCUCUUGGGAGGGUGUAAACCAGGGAGAGAGAGAGAGCUGAGCUGAACUCCCAGGUUUGUGUUUGUGCAUGAGUGUGUCCGGGAGUGAGGAAAUGCUGAAAAGUGCUCGCAGAACAAAUUAAACAUAAAGAAGCAUGAAGCUUCGUAAAAAGUCACCUGUGUCCCGAGUCCUUCCCACCCACAAAUGGCAGGGUUCUACACAGUGAAAAACAACUGCUUUCGUCUCUUCUGUUAUAGCAUCAUCUUUAUCCAUUAGACUAGCUGCAGAGUGUCUAACAGUCUAAUAAUCACAGACAAUCUAAAAAUCACAGUUGAUUAGUUGGUCCUUUAUUGCUGUCAAGACGCAACUGACCACCUCCAAAUAUGAUUUGAGUGAUCAGAUCACAAUGUGUAAUCGAGACACAUUUGACCCCAUUCACACCUGUACUUCGCACUGUCCCUUUACAAUCUAAUCACCCAGGACACAUAUCAAUGCCAGGUGUGAAUGGGGUCUAUGAUAGCCAGCUUCACUUAACCAAACAUUCACCUGCUGGCUGCUACAGAGCCUCUCCUCCAAACAUAUAACACCAAUUUGAUCUAAAUCAGACAAUGCAGUUAGAAGAUGUUUCCCUUUUUUGUCAGUAAUUUAAUCCCUCACCAUGGCCACACCGUUCGAGAUAUCAAAAAUAUGUUCACAAUUUAGCAUCUUCAAUGUCUUGGCUUAA